rnacentral:rRNA from 1 species
GACCGCGAUGGGUAGCCGGCCUGAGAGGGUGAACGGCCACAAGGGGACUGAGACACGGCCCUUACUCCUACGGGAGGCAGCAGUGGGGAAUAUUGGACAAUGGACCAAAGUCUGAUCCAGCAAUUCUGUGUGCACGAUGACGGUCUUAGGAUUGUAAAGUGCUUUCAAUCGGGAAAAAGAAAGUGAUGGUACCGAUAGAAGAAGCGACGGCUAAAUACGUGCCAGCAGCCGCGGUAAUACGUAUGUCGCAAGCGUUAUCCGGAUUUAUUGGGCGUAAAGCGCGUCUAGGCGGUUUGGUAAGUCUGAUGUGGAAAUGCGGGGCUCAACUCCGUAUUGCGUUGGAAACUGCCAGACUAGAGUACUGGAGAGGUGGGCGGAACUACAAGUGUAGAGGUGAAAUUCGUAGAUAUUUGUAGGAAUGCCGAUAGAGAAGUCAGCUCACUGGACAGAUACU